CGAGGGCUUCUCAGAGGAGGUGGCCUUGAGCUGAGCCCUCAAUAACCAGAGGGGGACAUUAGGGGAAGAGGUUCCAGGCAGGAGAUACAGCAAAGGCAGAGUCACCAAGGAGGCACCUAGCCCCCAAUUCAGUCAGAGGAACAGGGAGAAGGCGGGCGUGUCUGCAGUGUGUGCCCAGCAGAGGCCGUUGCAAUCCAAGGACAGUGUUUCCACUCUCGGGGGCCCCAGGCCCUCCCCUGCUGCCUCCUCAGCUGCUUACACUGGACACUAGACAGAACGCCCAGGACAGGGGCACAGCGUCACCUCCCACGAACUCCCCUCCUGCAGGAAACAGGUAGCACGUCUUCUGUGCCGCCACGGCAGACAGCUCUCUGAGUAACAGCAGAUUUGUACGUCAUGGGGACACGUUAGCCAAAAGAUCAAUGAUGCUCUGGAACUGCUCUGCUGGUCCCCGGGGGCAGAGGAGCCUGGGGAGACGCCUGCAAAUAUCCAGCCAAAGAUAGGCAGCUGCUGACAGAUGCUGGAUUCGCAAUCACAGCGCAUUGAUUUCCAAAGUGAUGCUGAAACUGAGCUGCAGGUCUGCGCUCACCAGGGCUCGUCUGGGGAGCUGGAGAAGCAGAGAAGUGGGACAGACAGAAGAGAGAGCAGACAACAGGGGCAGGAGUGCAGAUCCGGGGAGCUGUGGGCGCUCUGGGGCAGGGAGCCGGGGCUCCAGCCUGGCGCAGCGGACGACCCCUGCGGGGCGCUGGGCAAGCGGCCCAGCCUCUCACUGCCCGGUCACAACGAAAGUGCCUGCUGUGCGGAUCCAAGGAGGUCGCAAACAUCAAAAUGACACUGUAAACGUUGGGGCAGAAAUAGCAGGGGGCCCACCAUAACUUACCUUCCUUUUCUCUUUUGUUAACACGGCCUCUACUUUGUCAAGGACAACAAUGCUUCUACUUAAAAACAUCACAGCCCUCUGUCUGCAGUCAGGUGAAGCCGCUCUGGCCAAUGAGAUGGAAACAUGACAUUUCCCGCCCCUCUGCAGGCAGUCAUGUGACACUGCUCUGGCCAAUGAGUUGAACAACAGCGCAUGCCCGCCCCCUUGGCAGUUGGUCAUGUGACACAGUUCCCACCAAUGAAACGAGAGCUGCGGUUCUGUGCGGCAUUCUGGGAAAGCUCCCGGAAGGGCGGGUGGCUGGCCUCGCGUGGGCCACCCGCUGUCCAUCGUGAAAGGGGACGCGAGGCCAGGAAGCUGCGCUGUGAGCACAGGGCACGCCUCACCGAGGGCGCCGAGAGAGGUGGAGGAGGAGGCCGGGCCCGCGGGCGUCUUGGAGCUGCUGGGCCUGCACCGGCCCGCCGGACACCUCGGUGGGUGAGAAGAAUAAACCCGACGCCCUUCCUGGAUUUUCCACGAUGCCGGGAGAGACUGGACCCAGGAGGUAAACACAUGAGACCUGCCUCUGAUCGCUGACGGGCUCAGGCCUCCCUGGGAUGCUGAUGGGCCCCACUGCGGCCCCUGCAGUGACACGCCAUGAACCUCUGUCGGGCUGAACAGCGCCCAAACCUGGCGCCUCCCGGUCCCAGCAGAGCUGGGCCCGGUGGUCCCUCCCAACCGUCAGUUCGUGGGCUCAGAGACACGCUCUGCUGUGUGACCACACUGCCCCUCACUGGAGGUGGGGCUGAAGUCACCAACCUCUGAAUCCCACCUUCCUCGCCCGUCAAAGGGCAGUGAUGCUUCACUUCCGUGGCACUCAGCUUCCCUCAAAGAGCUGGAGAACGAAGUUCCAUUAUUUUGAGCUCAGUGAGGACACAGCCCUUUUGCUGCUGUCUCCCCUGCACCCCACAAGUCAUAAAAGGACAUGAAAUGUUUGUGUGAACCGGUCCACUGCCUUUGUGCUCCUGUGCCCUCCCCUCACUGGGUUCCCGUGGGAACCCAGCAAGACCACCCCGCUCUGCUCCUUAGUCACCCCCCAGACUGGGGGUGACCCGAGGAUGGGGAGAACGGUGCGAGUUCCUUCUGGGAAAUCAGGGGGAGCUGGGUCACCUCAAAGUCCCCCCAGCUCCCAGAAGCCACAAUUCUCCUCUUUCUUCCAGCCAGGGCCCUUUCCCUUCACAGAGGCCUUGGAGACAGCUGGGGGAGGUGGCACCUUGUUACAAGCCCGAGGACACAUGACCAACAAGGGCAGGGCAGGUGCCCGAACCAAGGCCUCCUGACUCCCAGUCCAGGGCUUGGUGGUCCUCCAGGCCCGGGGAAAGCCAGCCAUGAGGGUUUCCUGCCCUCCAGCAGCCUGGGAAGGUGAGGGGGUGCACCUGUGCCUGAGGGCCUGAGCUCCCCCACCUCCCGUCCUCACGUGGAGACGUGAACUGGGAAUGCUGGGCAGCCAGAAUCCACUGUGCAGAUGAGGAAGCUCGGUCUCAGAGAGGCCAAGUUGUUUUCCCAGGAUCCUGCAGGUAGGGAGUGGCGGAGCUGGGAUCCGAACCCAUGUCUCGGUGGCCGCAGAGACCAAGCUGUUGACGAUGGAGCCGGGAUCCUGGCCGUGGCCUCCUCUCCUGGAUCCAGGGACCACUGGCAGGGCCCAGCCUGCUCUCUAACCUGGGCUGGGGGAGUGACUCUCCAUCCUUCCCCAAAGUCUCUGCCUUUUCUCGUGGAGUCUGACCCCAGGCCUCCACAGCUGAGCAAACUCCGUCCCUGUGGUUCGGGACAGCCUCCCGAGGCUAAGGCUGACUCUGGCCCGGGAUGUGUCUGUGUUCCACUAGGGCCCGCUGGGAUCUGGCGCUGGGAUUCUGGCCAUGCUUGCUACUCUCACUAGCAGGUGUCCCACAGCUUCAAAGCAUGCUGCUCCUCCAGGCUCCUGGGAGAGGCAGGAACAGCCAAGCCAGCCUCCCAGCCCCUGCCUGGCUGCCUCUUCAAAGGGCAUAGAAUGCCCAACCCCACCAACAAGGGUGGCUGGCCCGGCUGGCUGAGGCCCACGCUGAGCAGAGAGCAGGAAGUCAUCGACCAAGAUGCAGCACAGAAGCCGCAGCCGAGCGCUCUCCCCUUGCAGGGCGGGCUACAGCUCAGACAAUGGUCGUCAUGCAGGUCCUCACAGCCUGGCAGCACUGUGAGGACAUAUAUGUCUCCGGAAGAGACAGCAUUGAUGUCCUUUAUGGGCAGGUGGAGUUGGGUGGUUCUGAGCCUCGGGUGCUUCCUGCACAGCCAUGCUCAGUGACGGUAACAGGCACUCCCCCGCAUCCCCCAGGCACUAACCCUCACACACCAAGGAAAGCUGAGGACACCUGCGACUCUCUGUGCCUCCUCUUCUCUCCAUUAGAGCAUGUCCAGUGACAUUUAUUCACGAAACAAAGCAUCCACCACGCAUGAGGCGCUGUUCCAGGCUUGGGGACACAGCUCUGAGCAGGACAGAAGAAGACCCAUCCUCAUGGAGCUGAUGUUCGGUGGGGAGACAGAUCUUAACAGACACAGCUGUAUCUAGAGUCAGGAGGUGACCUGUGCUAAGGAAAGGGACACUGUGCCAGUCAGAGCUGAUGUGGCCUCACUGUGCAGAAUGAAGACAGGGACAGGGGCUCAUCCUGCCUGAAUCUCUAGCCCGGGCACAGAUGUGGGCCCAGGAUGGCCCUCGGCAGACUUUGCUAACUGAGCAGCUAAGAAAACAGAACCCCCUCCUCAGGCCCUUGUCAGGGAAGCGAUGGAUGGCAGGAUUAAUCUAGCUCUCUCGUCUCUGGUGAGAGAUCUCUGCAUGGCCACAGCCCUAGAGAACUGGGGCCCCUGCACCGUCUUUUGCCCGGGGUCCCCAGAGCUCAUUUCUCAGCAGAUGGGGCCCAGGAGGAGGAGACAGAGGAUGGGGGAGGGUUGAGGAGAGAGCAGGACCCCUCUCCACGUCCCUGUGGCAAAGCCAUCACCCCUCCCCCCAGGGAGGACAGUGGCUCAGACAUCCCCUCUCCUGGUGUGGGCAGAGCUGGGGUGGGAAUGGAGCCGGAAAUGUCGCAUCACAUCCCAUGGUUAAGAAAAUGAUCUAGGACAUACAUUCCCUGUAACAGGGAACAGGCUGUAGAGAGAAGUGAGCCCAGCCGCACGGCCCCUCCUCGUCCCCACUUCUCCCCCUCUUCUUGCUUCUCCAUGUCUGCAUUGAACCAGACAUAUGCCAGGCCCCCAGGGGAUGUGUGUGGGCCAUGGAGUUUGGCUCAGACAUGGGGAAGGGCAGCUCAGCUCCUCUGUCUUCCACCUGCUUGGCCCUUCACCAAGGACGAAAUCCUGUUGGAUGGACCAGGAGCCCGGGUCACAGCGGGAAGACCAGUGUUGCUGAGCACUCACUGUGUGUCGGGAACUUUAGCUCACUCCGAGCACUGACUUGGCCCAGGGCUGAGUGCUGGUGUGUUCCUGCGACACAGCUAAAUCAAGGUCUAUGGGGCUCCUAAAACCUGAGAUUUGCUCCUUGUGUGCUCGUGGGGAGAGCUCCUCCUGCACAGGUGUAAUUAGGGAAUUACAGUCCCGGAGGAUGGAGUGGGGAGGGCCCUGAAGACAGACCACCAGGAGCCAGAGGCCGGCUGGGGCUCGGAGAGGAAAGCUCCACCAGGUCGGCCAGCCUGGGUCUCAGCCUCAGCUCUCCCGCCCACACACCAGUGACUUUGUGUAAGCCACUUAACUCCUCUGAGCCUCAGUUUCCCUAUCUGUAAUUCUGGACUACAAGGCCUGUCUCCCUGGGAUUCUGUGAGGAUUCCAUGAGUGUAAGGCUUGUGUCACUGCCUAGCACAGCACUCAGCUUAGUGACAAUUGGCUGGAACCGAACCUUGUCCGCUGGGAUGUGGAGAAGACCUGGACUAGAACCCGGAUUCUGGUGCCUGAACGCCGACCCUCCCGCCCUCCCUCCUGCUUAGAGGCUGAGCCACAGCGUCCCUCCCCUUGGGCCCAACAACGAGUCAUGUCACACCAGGUGCCUCCCUUGGCCACACACCCUUCACAGCAUCCAAAGACGCAGCCCUCCCGGGGGGAAGGGGGAUGACCGCAGCUCCACACCGGCUCCUGUCCCAUCUCCCUCCCUCGCUCCCUCUGUGAUUCCACAUCUGCGGGGCAACAGCUGAGCAUGUUCACAGAGAGUUUCUAAUGGCUGGCGGGUCCCCCUGAGGACCACUGCAGUUCCCUGUAAUGACGCUCAUUAGUCUGUCUGACAUCAAUACAGCUCUCGGGUUAAUAUGUUUAACUUAACGAGGCAUUUGUUUUCAGUUAGAAAACUCCUGAAGAAGCAUGUUUUCUCCCAAUGAGCUAAGCUGAUGAGUAGGUUAAUCCUAGACUUGAGCAAGCUGACUAAGAAAAUGAGUCCCACUAGUUUCUUCUUCUUUAGUUAUGGACUUUCCUUACAUUCAUUUGCGUAUAGCUGCUCAUUUCUGAGAGGAAGAAGACCCCACUUGGCUCUGUGCUUUGUCAUCCGUGUGCCUGUCUGUUGCCUCUCUCACUCCCAACGUCAGCUCCCAGGAGACAGAAGACCAAGGGCCAGCGUAUGAUGGGGGCUGACAGGGAAUGUGCUUGAAAUCGAGCAGCAGGAAGAGCCAGAGCCUGAAAGGGGAGCUCUCGCCUGGUGACAGAGACAGCAGCCACAGUGGACAGAGCAGGGAGUCUGCUGGCCCAUCUCUGUCCCAGCCAGCCUUGCAGGGUUCAUUGUUGUGGCCCCAGGGCCCAGCCCCUAGUGAGCACUCAGUCAUUUGUUGAACAAAGAAAGGAGAUGCUUAACAAAUGGUGGCUUUUAUUGUAAUUCAAGUCAUCACAUGAUCUUGACAGAGAGACCGUGCCCAGACACAUCUGGUGGGGAAGCCGGUGGUCAUGACUCCUGGCCCAAAGGCCGAGGAUGACCCAAAGGCCAGCCUCCUUUGAUGACUUGAGCAGUGGGUAUUCCCCCAUUGCUCUCUCCAUGGGCACUUAGAGCUUCUGCCAGCCAGAAGAUGCCAGCCAGUGUGCACUUUCCUUCCUCUAGGAGUGGGCUGCCAGGCCAUGCCAGUUCACCGCCCACCCCCUCCUACACUAGAGAGCAGGAGGGCUCAGACCCUCUCCGCACCCCUCCUGCUGGCUCAGUGACACAACUCAGGGAGAGCAAGCCCAGCCUGGUUCGUCGUAUCUGUAGGCAGGAGUGGGGUGGGAUUUACAGGCAGGCAGAGCUGUGGAAUCCAAUCAGUGGGCAGUGUGGCCGUAAUCCUGGCGGGAGGCGAUGGGAGUAUAAAUAAGCUUCCACUUUGCAGGGCUGCCAUGGAAGUCUGAGGGGAGCACUGGGCACAGCCCUGGCACACAGUCAGCCCUUGGGAGACGGUAGCGAUUAGGCAUAGUGCAUGGAUAGAGCUGAGACAGCUGAACUGAAGCUCUCAGCGGCCUGGCCACCUGGCUCUCAGCCCAGUAGCUGUGUCUGGUUUCUCCAAGGAGAUGAAAAAGACGCACUUCUCACACUCAAAGGAAACUGGCUGAGGAUGAGUUGCAGGGGGGAGUCCCUUGUGCAGAGGGAGUCUCUUGUGCAGGAGAUGAGUCCUUCGUGCAGGGGCGAGUCCAUUGUGCAGGAGAUGAGUCCCUUGUGCAGGGGGAGUCCCUUGUGCAGGGGGGAGUCCCUUGUGCAGGGGGAGUCCCUUGUGCAGGGGGAAGUCCCUUGUGCAGGGGGGAGUCCGUUGUGCAGGAGAUGAGUCCCUUGUGCAGGAGAUGAUCCAUUGUGCAGGAGAUGACUCCCUUGUGCAGGGAGAGUCCCUUGUGCAGGUGGGAGUCCCUUGUGCCGGGGGAGUCCCUUGUGCCGGGGGAGUCCCUUGUGCAGGGGGAGUCCCUUGUGCAGGGGCGAGUCCAUUGUGCAGGAGAUGAGUUCCUUGUGCACGGGGAGUCCCUUGAGCAGGAGAUAAGUCCCUUGUGCAGGGGGAGUCCGUUGUGCAGGGGGGAGUCCCUUGUGCAGAGGGAGUCCCUUGUGCAGGGGGGAGUCCCUUGUGCAGGGGGGAGUCACUUGUGCAGGGGUAAGGUCUUUGCAGCACUGGAGAAAGACGAGGGCAGGAUUCGCUCAGUGACGAACACUGACCUUUUGCAUGUUCACUCUGUGCUUAGGGGACAUGGAGCCAGACUAUUUUGAAGAGGAAGGUGACCUGUAAAGGCCAUGUCCUCUUUCUCAAUUUAAAUGACGUAAGUUUAAGCAUCCAAGUAUGUAUGUGGUGAUGUGAGUUCUCGCAGGUCCAACUCUUUCCUCCUGUAAUGCCUUCUCCAGAUGGGACUGGAACUGGGUGUAGUUAUGUCAGUAGCUUGCUGUGUUCACAUGGGCGGACAGGCGAGAGUGCACAUGCAUUUCUUUGGAGUGAAAUUGACAGCCACUUUGGAUGAGCAAUUGUGGCUUUUAAGUGUGUGUGUUUUGGUCAGGGAGGGAGGGCGAUUCUAAAAAGCAAAGACCGCUCCAGGGCAAAUCAGCUUCCAGCUUUCCAAAGGCAAGGGCUUUCGGCUUGUUGACUUCUUCUCUGUGAAUGUUUCUGGCAGAGAAUUCGGAGGUGAGGUUAGAAGUCACCCCAGUGGAUAGAUGGGGAGUCACAUCUGAGCAGAGCCAGGGUGAGGCUGGACUCUUGAAGUGGGUGUUGGGCUCUGUCACAGCUGGCUGGGUGAUCUGGAACCUAUUGCUUCUGCUCUCUGGCCUCAGUUUCCCCAAUGUGUAAAAUAGAAACAUGGGAUCUAUUGGUAUCUAAGGCUCCUUCUGAGUCAAAAGUGAUAAUAAGUUGUGAUGAGGCCUAGACUGAGGAUGGUAAAUGAGCACAGAGUGGAGAGGAGGCGGGAGGGAUGCCUUGAUGACGUGCCAUUGUCUGAAGUCUUGUCUUUACCACUUCAGUCCAGGACCAACUUCCAACCACCAGCCCCGUGUCUUUUUGCCUGGGGGGCUUUCUCUGGUCCCCGAAUCCCACUCUGACGCCCUGUGUGAAGAACUUACCUGUGUGGGCGCUAAUACGCCUGCCCUAGGAAAAGCAGGAGAUGAAAAUAAACAGCCAGGUCUCGGCAUUCUGGUGGACAGCUCUGUGACACGUGUGCUUCACGCCGCCUCCUGGUUUCCAUGUGGUCACUCUCAAGUCGCCCGCAGUGGUAACUGAGUUGAUGACCUUUACUGGAUGUCUUCCGCUCCCCAUCUCACCUCCCCACUGCCCUCAAGUGUCUCCUCCUCCUCCCAACUUAAUCGCAGGUGUUGAGUCUGUCAGUUCUGCCACCAGGGACCUGAAAAGGAAGACGAUAGCUGAGAAGGAGAGAAGGGCACUGGGGCAUUCUGGGGUGUCGUCCCACGGGGGCAUUCAUUUAUUGGGAGCUCUUUGAGCUGUACACUUAUAGUGUGUGUACUUUCCUCUAGGUAUGUUUUACAUUGUACCAUAAUAAAAAGUUGGUGUAUAUAAAGAAUAGGGCACAUUUUACCGAGAUACCAGAAUAUGCUGGAGGGAUGGGAGUGGCAGGAAUCACACUGGACACAACACACAGAGUACACAUACAAAGAAGUUAAUUUUGUCAAAUGAUGUGUGAAUGAGUGAACUAGAAAAUACAUAUAUUGUUGGGUAAAUGAAUGAACCAGAGGAUAAUAAAGAAAUGCGUGAAUGAGGCAAUGACAGGAUGAGCACAUUUGAGAAUGAGCGAGUGAAGGAACCAGUGAAAGAAGUUGUCCCCGGUGACGAGUGAGGAGCUAAGUGCCCACAUGGACAAUGGAGGGAGGAGUGAAUGGAUGAAAGGACCACAAUUCCAGGAAGUAGGAGCGAAUGGACCGAGGAGUGAGGCCUGGAAUAAACUUGACACGUGAAUGAAUAUGUGAAGGCAUGGAUGAAAGAAAGAAUAAAUGAAGGAAAAUACUGAAGACAUGAAUGAACGAAUGAGUAGAUAUAAAAGUGUAAGGAGCAAUGAGCAAAUGAACAAUUAUAUAAAUGCGGAAGUGGAUAUAUGGUUCCAUGUGUUCUCGCUGGAUCUUAGGGGGAGUAAUUUGCAGAGCAGAAAAUGCCCAACUCAGAGGCAAGUGUCUCCCCUCACAUCCCCGGGGCCAAGGUCUUGGCAAAUCACCACGGCCCGCCCAGAGCAGGUUCCUGAGGUGAUUCAGUUUGGAUUUAAUAAGAACAUUGUUAAGCAAAUAUCAAGGAUGCCACGGAGUGGCCACUCCCUUGGAUCGAUUCUGGGUUCAGUGGAAAGAACUAAAUAAUAACUGACUACAAUUAUGCACCACAUAACCAUGCUCAGUCAACCACAGACGGCGUAUACGACAGUGGCCCCACGAGGUUAGUGCCACACAGCCCAGGUGUGCAGGAGGCUCUAGGGUCUAGGUUUGUGUAAGUACACUCUAUGAUGUUCCCACAGCGACGAAAUCACCUAGUGACACAUUUCUCAGAACAAGUAUCCAUCGUUCAGCGAUGCAUGACUGUAUAUCGUUUUCACGAUUAGGUCGCAGAUAAUUACCUAUUAUGUAGCCAACUCCCAGCAAGAUUUUAAUAUUCAAUAUUUAAAUAACACAUUUUCACUGUCUCCUUCAAAUUAGCCUCCGGGAAGUGUAAUUAAUGUCAGCUGGGAAGGUUGGCUGUGUGGCCUGGGAAUGAGGAAGGGGGUCGGCGCUGUCGCUGUGAUCGUCCUAUGAGACCCCGAGGCCGGGUGGUGCUGUGCACAGAGCUCAGGUUUGGGAAAACCUCGGUCCAGGACGUCGGGCAGGUCAGUCCCCAUCUGGGCCUCCAUCACCUCCUCUAUGAAAUGAAGAUGAUUCUCCUAAUUCCCCGACUCCCAGGGUUAUCGGGGCGCUCAGUGUAGACCCAGGUCAGGGUCAGGGUCAGUCCACCAGUCCCCCGCUGUGCCCCACAGUGCAGGCACAUCCCUCAUCCCGGGGUAAGCAGGUCUUCUCUUGAUGCAUAUUUCUGCCCCACAGACUGAGGGCCGGGACCGAUCUUGUCCUCAGCGCGUGUUCAGCACCCAGGGCAGUGUCUGCACACAGUAGGCACUCGGUGAACGUUGGUGGAGGAAACGAAGGGAUCUCGUGUAGUGUGGGUUUUAGAAGCUGCCUAAGGUCCCUUUCAGAACAACGAGGUUUGAUAGGCAGAUGGCCACUUACCAGGGUCCUCAUGGAGCUUGUCAGGGUUGCCCACCUCUGAUGCUCUUCCAGCUGUCACUUGUUCCCUUAAGUCCAUCGGUGUCUGCCUGUCUCGGCCCCUCCCCCUUCCUGUGCGCCACCGCCAAUAUCUGGGGGCCUGAAAAGAAUGCAGACAAGCUGGUCGGAUUGUGCGUGAAGGAAGCAUCCACGGGCUCUGAUGAGGGGCCCAGGGGCUCUGCUCUGAGUGACAGUGCCCGCGGGAAUGACGUGUCCCCGGGUCUCCACAUGGACCUGACCUGGCUCAGCCUUGAUGAGAGAUCAGCACAUGGGUCUGAUGCCCACAGGGACAAGAGGGGCAGAGACCUCCUGAGUCCUGUGAGUGCCUGGAGGAGGCGGUGAGGGAGAUGCCGGGUCCCUGACAAAGGACUCUAUGCUGCCCCUGCCAUCUGUCGUGUAGAUUGAAUACCUGUGAUUCUGGAAUUUCUUCCUCUUCCAGGAGUCUGCUUUCCUAAAUAGUCCAGCUUCACUCAAACUGUCUUCCCUUCUCUGAGGCACUGGGAACCACACCUGAUGAGGUCCCACCUUUGAGUGUGAAGGACAGUCCAUGGUCCCCUUGUCUGUGUCAGACCCUCCUGACUGUCUGGGUGAUGGCCAACCCCCUCCCCCUGUCAGCCCCGAGAGGAUUGGCCGUGGUGGGGGCAGGAGAGGAGAGAGUAUCAUCCUAAGGGGCCUGCAGUGCAGGGAGAGGAGCGGACUCUGGCCAUGAGGAGCCACGAGCUGGUGCAGGGAGCACAGCAGCCGGGUCUGCACAGCCCAGCUCGGCACGCCCUCGUGUAGGGGUCAGGAGCCCCGAGGGGACCCCUGGUGGGCCCAGGGAAUCACGUGGCCACCAGUUACCUUGAGCUCUAUCACAUACAGGACCCUCCACCAGUUCAGGACCUGCCUGUCCCCAUCUCAGCCAAUGGUGCUGGGCAGAGACCAGGUGACUGUCCCGGCCAGUCACCUACAUGGGCUCUGCCCCCCGCAGCGGGCCCAGCCUCACAGGGCAGCCCAGCAGGUACCCUGGGAACCAGAUCCAAGAUCCCUGCUCACCUUCCCAAGAUGGCCAAGGCCAUCUCCAGGCCACCUCUGGUGGGGACGCCACAGACAGCCAGGCCCCUCUUAUAUUUGCUACAUUCUUCAAGUGUCCUUGAUCAUCGCACAUUGCCCUUAGAGACAGAGGAAGAAAUUAUAAAAAUUAAAGAAGAAAUAGGCAGCAGUGGCUCCUAGGAAAUGAAAUCGUUUCCUUCUACACAGUUAAACACGAGCGUUUGAAAUGUCCUUGUCACACCUUGCACUGGCUCUGUCAGGGUGGAUUAUUGGAUUAUAAAAGGACUGGAGGUUUCUGGGCAUUCAAGGAGCAAAGAACCAGCUUCCGAGUCAGACAGACCUGGACCGUCUCAGCUCAGCCACGUCCUUGUGUGGGUGUCGCUUCAGCUUCCAGACCCUCAUCUGCUCACUUUUAAAGUGGGAGGUGACCCUCUCUCACAGGUAAAAGUGAAAGAAUGGGGGUGAGACAGCUCCGCACCUGGGACACUGCAAACAUCCAAAAUGAGGUUGCUGCCGUAUCAUCUAGGUGAGGAGUGAUGACAGAACAGUGGGUGUCUUAGGAGACACUUCCUGCCCCUUCGUCCCUCUGGAAAUUUCCUUGCUGGGCCGCUUGAGCCUCUUUGAUCAUCUCUUGUUCUUCUGAUAAAAUAAAGCUUGACUGCAGAAAGCUUUGUCAUCAAAGCUUCGUCGUCACUGUCACGUCCACAGACUCCACCUCUUACACGAGCUGCCCGGGAGCAAAGAGGCGAACGGCAGCCGCUCCCCCUGCCUGCGUCGCCGUGCACUGAGGACGGGAUGGGGAGUCUCACCGAGUCCCCAGGUCAACUGCAGGGGUCGCCAUCCUCCCACUGUGCAGGUGAGAAGCCUGAGGCUCAGAGCAGUGACGUCACAUCCACAACACAACAACAGAUGUUACUGCACCUGCCGUGAGACCCAGCGGGGAACAAGUCCCCGCGCCCGUGGGGCUGGCACAGAGGAUAAGGGAUGAAGACGUGACACUUGUGAAGGAGAAAAACAGAGCUGGCAGUCAGGUGGCCCCUUUGUCCCCACGGAAGGCUUGCCUGUGUCCUGCCGCCACAAGGCUUCUCAGAGCUGCUUUCUGCUGGGGAGGCCCUGGGCGUGGGAAGGGUGCCAGGGUUCACGUGCUUCGUCUCUGCCCAGCCUCACGACCGCCCUGUGUGCCCACAAUGCACAGACGAAGAAACUGAGGCUCAGAGAGGUGACAUCACCUGCUCAAAGUCAUGGAGUCAGUAAGUGGUCAGGGUGGCUUCAGGGUCAGAGGACUCGAGUUUGUGUCCAGGCUCGGCCAUUCAAGGGCUGUGUGACCUCAGCAAGCCUCUCACCGCUAAGCCUGUUUCCUCAUCAGCAACAUGACGAUGACAGCAGGACCUGCGUCAUGGGGCUGUUGUGAUGGGAAAUGAGCUGGUGCUCGGGAUGCAGAGGACAGUGCCUGGCACAGAGCGACGGUGAUGAUGAUGAUGAUAGUGACGCCCUCUCCGAUGGUGCUGACUCCGUUUACCCUUCAGGGCGGCCCUCAAAUGGAACGUGGUGUGACCUUUAACGAAGCCAGCUGGCGUCUCCAGCGGGCAGAUAAGAAAACUGAGACUCAAAGGCGGGGAGUCGUUCGCUAAAGCCACAAGAUGCUGAAAGCAGAGCCGAUUCUUUCAUCUUAUUGUGCUUUCCAUCCAUCCUGGUUUUCCCCUUUGCUUCUUUCUUCACUUUCCUUUUGACUCAUUUUCUUCUGUCCAUUACAUUGAUCAAAUAUUCUUCAUUACCUUUCUGCUUCCGUUGGUUUCAAAAGUCUGCAUCCCAUUUCUGUCCGUUUAUUAGUUACCUUAAAAAUGGAGGAAGUGUGCUUAUUUGGACUAACACAGCUUAAAGCUCGUCAGCCUCUCUGCCCUCCCUGUGAAUGGCACCAGGACUCCAAACGCCUUGACUCCAGUCUCCCAUCUUCAUGUCGGCUUCAGCUAGUGUUACGAUUCUGUCUCCUUUUUCCACCUCUCCCAACUUAGUUCUCACUAUUACUGUUGUUGGUUUCCCUCUUGUUUCUUGUAGACAACGAGUAGAUUUACCCCAUGUUCAUGGAUAAUUCUGCAUGCUUUUCCUACUUUCAUGCUAUUCCUUCCUUG
ensembl:lncRNA